AUAGCUUCUCGGCCUUAUCGCUAAGGUCAAAGUGUAGUAUCUCUUCUUAUCAGCUUAACAUUUGAUAGAGUCUCCAUCGGUGGGCAAUAAAUGGUAAAGUGGUUUUUGGAAGCAGACGAAACGCCAGAAGAUAGCACCGCUUUUGUCGCGGGUCGGCCGGUAUUGCAGUACCGCCGAAUUUUUGGGCCAAUUAUA
rnacentral:snRNA from 1 species